UUGAUUCUUGUCUCAUUCUAGAAAUAAGCAAAUUAUGGGCCAGGAGAUACAUAUGCAGGUUUAGAUUCAGGGGGUAAAUAUGCAGGUUUUGUUACAUGGGUAUAUUGCGUGAUGCUGUGGUUUGAGUUAGUGAUCCCGUUACCCAAAUAGUGAACAUAGUACCUGAAUGUAGGUUUCAACUCUUGCCCUCUUUCCUCCCUUCUCCCUUUUGGAAUCUCCAGUGUUUAUUGUUUCUAUCUUUGUGUCUAUGUGUACAACAGGUUUAGCUCCCACUUAAAAGUUAGAACAUGCAGUAUUUGGUUUUCUGUUUCUGCAUUAAUUCACUUAGGAUAAUGGCCUCCAGCUGCAUCCAUGCUGCUGCAAAGGACAUGAUUACAUUCUAUUUAUUUAUUUAUUUAUUUAGAUACGGAGUUUUGCUCUUGUCGCCCAGGCUGAAGUGCGAUGGCAUGAUCUCGGCUCAUUGCAACCUCCACCUCCCAGGUUCAAGCAAUUCUCCUGCCUCAGCCUCCCCAGUAGCUGGGAUUAUAGGCACCUGCCACCACACCCUGCUAGGUUUUUGUAUUUUUAGUAGAGAUGGGUUUUGCCAUGUUGGCCAGGUUGGUCUUGAAGUCCUGACCUCAGGUGAUCCACCCACCUCGGCCUCCCAAAGUGCUGGGUUUACAGGUAUGAGCCACCGCACUGGGCCGAUUGCAUUCUUUUUUAUGGCUACAUAGCAUUCCAUGGUAUACAUGGACCACAUUUUCUUUAUCCACUCUACCAUUGAUGAACAUCUAGGCUGAUUCCAUGUCUUUGCUAUUGUGAAUAGUGCUGCGAAAAACAUACAGGUGCAUGUGUCCUUUUGGUAGAAAGAUGUAUUUCCUUUGUGUAUAUACCCAGUAGUGAGAUUGCUGGGUUGAAUGUUAAUUCUAUUUUUAAUUCUUUGAGAAAACUCCAAACUGCUUUCCACAGUGGCUGAACUAAUUUACCUUCCCACCAACAGUGUGUUAGCAUUCCCUUUUCUCUGCUACCUCGCCAACAUCUCUUAUUUUCUGACUUUAAUAAUAGCCAUUCUAACUAGUGUGGAUGGUAUCUCAUUGUGGUUUUGAUUUUGCAUUUCUCUGAUGAUUAGUGAUGGUUAGCAUUUUUUCAUAUGUUUAUUGGCCACUUGUACUCUUCUUUUGAGAAGUGUCUGCUCAUGCCCCUUGCCCACGUUUUAAUGGGAUUAUUUGUUUUUUUCUUGUUGAUUUGUUUAAGUUCCUUAUAGAUUCUGGAUAUUAGUUCUUUGCUGGAGGCAGUUUGUUAAUAUUUUCUCCUAUUCUUUAGGCUGUCUGUUUACUCUGUUGAUAGUUUCUUUUGCUGUGCAGAAGCUCUUUAGUUUAAGUAGGUCCCAUCUGUCAUUUUUUAUUUUUGUAGAAUGUACUUAUUUUCCCUGACUUUUCAGUCAGAAUUUGCAAUCAAGGGGAGCAUAAUGGAUCCAGUGGAUACCCAGGAUAAAAGGGUGUAAUUGCCUAGAGAAUCUUUUCUGUUAAAUAUCAUUCAUCUUACUUCCCUUAUCCCUUUGCCUCCAAACCUGUUUCCAAAACAAAAGCAUUCCUCUGAGGAAGUGCUUGCACGGUGAUAGGUGAUAGAUAGCCCAUGUGGGGAGAGGUUGGGAGAAUCAUGCAGAAGAGAAACCGAGAGAGAUGGAAACGGCAUUCUGGCCAGCCACUUUUCUUGUAAUCCAUCACUGUUUGCCCUGCAGUAGCGGGCUGGUUGAGCAGAGCCCCAUAAUUAAAAUUCUCUAUUCUAACCUGUCCUCACAUCUUUAAGAUGAUUCUUUGAGAAGUCUGGGUUAAAAGGUUUAAGGAAGAAACCAAACUGUGAGUUUUGGGGGAAAGGAUGAUCAUCACCUUUAAAAGAACUUUUGGUUUCCAAAGAAAUAUGCAUAGAACUAAAUGCACAGAUUUUCUUUUCCAUUUUUAUUUUUUUAGCCAAUUUCCAAAGCCCUAAAUCACAUUUUCCCUUAGACUGAAACUCUAGAAAA
rnacentral:lncRNA from 10 species